UACGUAGGGGGCGAGCGUUGUCCGGAUUCAUUGGGCGUAAAGAGCUCGUAGGCGGCUUGGCAAGUCGGGUGUGAAAACUCCAGCUCAACCUGGAGACGCCACCCGAUACUGCCAUGGCUUGAGUCCGGUAGGGGACCACGGAAUUCCUGGUGUAGCGGUGAAAGUGACGCAGAGAUCGGAAAGAACACCAACGGCGAAAGCACUCUGCUGGGCCGACACUGACACUGAGAGACGAAAGCUAGGGGAGCGAAUGGG
rnacentral:rRNA from 1 species